rnacentral:misc_RNA from 1 species
UUUCCGUAGGUGAACCUGCGGAAGGAUCAUUAAUGGGAAAUCAAAUCAAAUCAAAACAAAUGUUCUGUUGCACUGGGUGUGCUGUGUGGUGGUGGUGUGAGACACGGAGAUUCGAUCAUUGGAGAUUCAAUCAUUGGAGAUUCAAUCAUUGGAGAUUCAAUCAUUGGAAUUUCAAUCAUUGGAGAUUCAAUCAUUCAAUCUCAAUCAUCGCCACACAACACAACUAUCUAUCACACUCGAUCAACAACAACACACUCACACACAACAGCAAACAACUUUCAACAACGGAUCUCUUGGCUCUC